ensembl:lncRNA
CGAAAAAACCGCUCUCACACGCUCAACACGCCACACUCGCUCCACUACCGCGCAUGCGCAGAGAGAGAGGUGUCUGAAACAUGUAUGUAUGGGCGGGGUUUAGAGAGAGAGAGAGGUGUGUCUGAAACAUGUAUGUAUGGGCGGGGUUUAGAGAGAGAGAGAGAGGUGUGUCUGAAACAUGUAUGUAUGGGCGGGGUUUAGAGAGAGAGAGAGAGAGAGAGAGAGAGAGGUGUGUCUGAAACAUGUCUGUAUGGGUGGGGUUUAGAGAGAGAGAGAGAGGUGAUUCGUUUUUUUGUCUCCUAGUUUAAACAUUACGGAGAUUCUUUUAGCCAACACUUUAACAUUUUUACCUCGUAAGGAUCUUUGUUUAGAAGUCAUGUAAUACGCGCGAUUCUUUUUAAACAGCUCUUUUAAUCAUUUUUACAUCCUAAAGGUUUAUGUUU